rnacentral:rRNA from 1 species
UACGGAGGAUGCGAGCGUUAUCCGGAUUUAUUGGGUUUAAAGGGUGCGUAGGCGGCGAGUUAAGUCAGCGGUAAAAGCCCGGGGCUCAACCCCGGCCCGCCGUUGAAACUGGCUGGCUUGAGUUGGGGAAAGGCAGGCGGAAUGCGCGGUGUAGCGGUGAAAUGCAUAGAUAUCGCGCAGAACCCCGAUUGCGAAGGCAGCUUACCAGACUGCGACUGACGCUGAAGCACGAGAGCGUGGGUAGCGAACAGG